ensembl:lncRNA novel transcript
GAGUCCUGGCGAGAGCCGAGGGCUCCCCGGGUUCAAAGGGCCGCAGCCCCGAGGGAACGCCCUCCUUGCUGUGCCCCGGGGGGCAGAAGCGGACUGCUGGGCGGUGGGACCGGCCUGGGCCACGGUAUGCUACUGCUCAUACCGGCCUUGCUGGGAGAGGAUCCUUGAUGACUGGGACCUACAUGGAUGCCAGGAUGCCAAGGAGUCAACGCCUUGUUCCCUGGGUAGCUGGCUCAGGCUGGUUCUAACAGAGUCUAUUGAUGCAAACCAGAAUUUUGAAGCUUGGUUCACAAAGUUGAGACAACUCCAGCUUUCUUUGUUUUGGUGGCAAUUACUGUUUCCUCAAGCCUGGAGUGUAUGGUUAUGGGACAGCCACUUCCUCCUUCAAAUCACAUCCAUUAAUCUGUGUGGGCAAAGUCCAUCACUAUCAUCUAUUGAUCAUAUUUGGCUUGGGUGGAACAGAUUUUCAACUGUCACAAGUAAAAUACUCCCUACAGACCAGAUUCAACCUGCAUUCACAAAGAGAAAUGAAGAACUGAAUCAUUCGUCUGUGCUGUGCCAAGCUUCUGCCUCUAUCAACCAUAUCUUUCAAGCAUGGGCUUAGUAAUUCUGACUUUUGAAAUCUCCUGUCGUGAACAAAUCUACACUGCACUUUAUUUCUUGCCCCGUCCUGGAAUUCAGCCACUCCUGCACUACAUUUCUUAAGGUGAAGAAGUGAAAGACGAAGACACCAAUCCAAGUGAACGUGUGUUAUUCUCUUCUAUAAUGCUAUUGUAUUAUAUUCCCUCUUUUUUUUAAAUUCUCUUGAUUUCUCUGCACAAAAGAGGGAAAUUCUUCCAAAGCAACGGAAAGUUUCCUUGAAAUACUUUUAUCUAGUCACACUUACAUAGUGUAAUGUCUCUCUCUUACAGCAUUGUACAGUUUGGGAUUUGUUUUUAAUCCUGUGGAAAAUGUCCUAACAGGGCUUUGGUGUAUCUUUGUUCCAAUUUCUACAUUGCUUGGGGAGGGGGAGAAGCUUUCUUUGUAUUAAAUGAAAUACACCACUACUUCAUUAAAUAAAUAGACACCUCAACCAUUAGUUGCUAAUGAAACAAAAAUCUAAGUAAAACAUCUAACUAUCCAAAUACUACAUUUUCUCUACCUUUGCCCCAAAAUGUGCCUCAUCUCCCUGCACCUCCAAAUAAUAUUUCUAGUGUUUUCAUUUUAUUAGUUUUGCAAUGUCACUGUCCAGAUAGAAUUAUUCGAUGACUUAAAACAACUUUCGUAAGAUUUUCAAGCCCUAAAUUAAAAAAUCAUAUUUCAAUACAA